GUAAACGAUGUUCGCUAGGUGUCGGCCACGGUGCGACCGUUGUCGGUGCCGUAGGGAAGCCGUGAAGCGAGCCACCUGGGAAGUACGGCCGCAAGGCUGAAACUUAAAGGAAUUGGCGGGGGAGCACCACAACGGGUGGAGCUUGCGGUUUAAUUGGAUUCAACGCCGGAAAUCUUACCGGGACCGACAGCAAUAUGAAGGCCAGGCUGAAGACUUUGCCGGAUUAGCUGAGAGGUGGUGCAUGGCCGUCGUCAGUUCGUACUGUGAAGCAUCCUGUUAAGUCAGGCAACGAGCGAGACCCACGCCCACAGUUGCCAGCGUACUCUCUGGAGUGACGGGUACACUGUGGGGACC
rnacentral:rRNA from 1 species